rnacentral:rRNA from 1 species
GACGUAGGGCGCGAGCGUUGUCCGGAUUUAUUGGGCGUAAAGAGCUCGUAGGCGGCUUGUCGCGUCGACCGUGAAAACUUGGGGCUCAACCCCAAGCCUGCGGUCGAUACGGGCAGGCUAGAGUUCGGUAGGGGAGACUGGAAUUCCUGGUGUAGCGGUGAAAUGCGCAGAUAUCAGGAGGAACACCGAUGGCGAAGGCAGGUCUCUGGGCCGAUACUGACGCUGAGGAGCGAAAGCGUGGGAGCGAACAGG